rnacentral:rRNA from 1 species
CGACCGGCGCACGGGUGAGUAACACGUAUGAAACCUGCCCGUUGCAGGGGGGAUAAUCGGGAGAAAUCCCGUCUAAUACCGCGUAACGCCGCGGGGCUGCAUGGCCCUGCGGCCAAAGGGAGCGAUUCCGGCAACGGAUGGGCAUGCGUGACAUUAGCUAGUUGGCGGGGCAACGGCCCACCAAGGCGACGAUGUCUAGGGGUUCUGAGAGGAAGGUCCCCCACACUGGUACUGAGACACGGACCAGACUCCUACGGGAGGCAGCAG